AUCAUCUUGUAGUUCAUAAGCAUGAUGAUUGGCUUUUCACACACGUAUGAGAUGUGCCUCCCUCAAACCUUGGUAUUAUGUUGGCACAUUACCCAUCUGAUG